rnacentral:rRNA from 1 species
UACGAAGGGGGCUAGCGUUGUUCGGAAUUACUGGGCGUAAAGCGCACGUAGGCGGAUAUUUAAGUCAGGGGUGAAAUCCCGGGGCUCAACCCCGGAACUGCCUUUGAUACUGAGGAUCUCGAGUCCGGGAGAGGUGAGUGGAACUCCGAGUGUAGAGGUGAAAUUCGUAGAUAUUCGGAAGAACACCAGUGGCGAAGGCGGCUCACUGGCCCGGUACUGACGCUGAGGUGCGAAAGCGUGGGGAGCAAACAGG